CGAGUGAACCGGGAUGAGCUCAAAUUUGAAAUCUGGCGUCUUUCAGGCGUCCGAGUUGUAAUCUAUAGAGGCGUUUUCCGCGCCGGACCGCGUCCAAGUCUCUUGGAAUAGAGUAUCAAAGAGGGUGACAAUCCCGUACUUGACGCGACAACCGGUGCUCUGUGAUACGUUCUCAACGAGUCGAGUUGUUUGGGAAUGCAGCUCUAAAUGGGUGGUAAAUUCCAUCUAAGGCUAAAUAUUGGCGAGAGACCGAUAGCGAACAAGUACCGUGAGGGAAAGAUGAAAAGCACUUUGGAAAGAGAGUUAAACAGCACGUGAAAUUGUUAAAAGGGAAACGAUUGAAGUCAGUCGUGUGAAAGGUAUUCAGCCGUCUCUGGCGGUGUAUUUGCCUUUCACGGGUCAACAUCAGUUUAGUCCGGUAGAAAAAGGCUGGAGGAAGGUGGCACCCUCGGGUGUGUUAUAGCCUCCUGUCACAUGUGCCGGAUUAGACUGAGGAACGCAGCUUGCAGCAAUGCCGGGGUUCGCCCACGUACAAGCUUAGG
rnacentral:rRNA from 1 species